GCACAAUCACAGCUCACUGCAUCCUCUGCCUCCGGGACUCAGAGCCGAUCUUUCACCGUGUUGGCCCUGCUGGACUCCGAUUCCUGGCCUCAAGUGAUCCACCUGCCUCAGCCUCCCAAAGUGCUAGGAUGACAGGUAUGCACGCGCGCACCUCCCGGGCAGGCAGUGGACGCUGAGCAAACGGACGGACGGGCUGGAAGGCUGGCAGUGGGGUGCAGGAGGCAGCCAUGAGAAACCCUCAAGUACAGGCUCCCACGGCUGAAUUGUUCCCGGCCCACAGCGACCCGUCCCCACCCGUCUCUGAUCGGCAGCCGCCUCGAGCCCGGCGCGUCCACCCAGCCUGGGCGCUGCCCAGUACCCGCCGGCCGGCGCAGGGCCCCUGGGGCAGGCUUCACUCACCAAAGCAGUGCAGCAGGCAGACCACGCCGAGGACCACCAGGGCCCGCCCCGCGUCGCUCCCCGCAACCAUGGCUCGUCGGGCCGGCCUCUGCGCAAGUGCCCAGCCACAAGGAGCUCUAAGUUCAAGCACCGCCUACGCGGGAGGCCUGAAACAGAAGCACCAGAGUUGCCCCUGCCCAGCUGAGGGAGUUCACAGAACUCUUAGUUAUUAUGUGAGCAGGAAUCCAUUUCCAUGAACAGGACUCCCCGCUGCCCAAAUAACCACCAACACAUGGUGCAAGUUGUGAAACUGAGUGGGAAUGUGCCUUCUUGCUGCUUCACCUCCAUUGUCCCCAGAUGUAAACCCCUCCCAACACUGAAAGGAAACAGAGACCAGUGCACUGUGCAGUCUCACUUAUCGAGAAUGCACAGCUCCUGCUCUUAUUACCAUUCUGGGAAAUCCCCGCUGCAUUUCAUGGCCAGGGCAGCACUUCAUAGUUGGAAAAGGAUGGUGUGGACUUGCUGCAGAGGCCCUAGAGAAGGCCAUCCUGUGUUCCUGCUCUCCUUCUCAUCCGGCUUCUACCCCCGCCCCACCCCCCAACAAAAAUGCUACAGGUUAUAAGCUCUACAUUCUGAACCUGCCUUUCAGGGGCUAGGUGUGUUGUGUGUUGCACAGCUCUAGGGGUAGCAUAGCCUUGAUCAUCGGGGUGGAGGUGUCUAUUUACUAUGAUAUGUUACAGCAGAUGGCAGUGAAGUGUCUUGAGGAAGAGGUGUUUUUAUCAUUUGAAGGUUAUGGGGUGUAAUAAUAAAGACUGCAAUUCACAGACCUUGAGCCUAGCAGGCCAAUGCCAAGGGCAGAACUGUAGGCCCCACAGCACAGUUCCACAGAGGAAGGGGGCUGGUUAGUAAGGGGAAAGAAGGAUAGAAGACUGCAGUAAAUGUAAACAGCCGUAUUUUCA